AUCAUGGCUCAGGAUGAACGCUAGCUAUAGGCUUAACACAUGCAAGUCGAGGGGUAACAAGGAGAGAGCUUGCUCUUUCUGUUGACGACCGGCGCACGGGUGAGUAACACGUAUCCAACCUACCGUAUACACUGGGAUAGCUCUUCGAAAAGAAGGAUUAAUACUAGAUGUUAAGAUAUUCUCGCCUGGGAAUAUCUUCAAAGAUUUAUCGGUAUACGAUGGGGAUGCGUUCCAUUAGACAGUUGGUGAGGUAACGGCUCACCAAAUCGACGAUGGAUAGGGGUUCUGAGAGGAAGAUCCCCCACAUUGGAACUGAGACACGGUCCAAACUCCUACGGGAGGCAGCAGUGAGGAAUAUUGGUCAAUGGACGCGAGUCUGAACCAGCCAAGUAGCGUGAAGGAAGACUGCCCUAUGGGUUGUAAACUGCUUUUAUGCGGGGAUAAAGUGGGCCACGCGUGGCCUUUUGCAGGUACCGCAUGAAUAAGGACCGGCUAAUUCCGUG
rnacentral:rRNA from 1 species